AGGACCCACUGACCUUAGUUUUUCAAGAAAUUCCAAUGAGCCUAGUUACCUGGUUUCCUAGGCGCCGACAGAUACAAACCAGCAGGUGAGCAGACCACUCUAGCUUUUAACAAACACUGGUAGAGGUGGUAACGAGACCCAAGAAACUACAAAAAGCAAUCCAGGAUGAUUGAUCAUGGAGACAGCAGAGUCAAGAAAGGAAUUCUAGACCAGCUCUCCGGCCUGCUUGGCUUCAGAUGGCGUCUCUUCUAGAGUCUCGGUGCUUCCCAGAUUGGAGAGCUGAGUGCUUGGCUGUAACCCAGGGCUGGAGAUAUUGGAGUCGCCCAUCUGAUUCUGAAAUUAAAAGGAAAAGUAUAUCAUGUGAACAGUUUGCUGACUACUAUUUGGCUCAUAAGACAUCUGAGGUUAUCAGCAAUGCUAUUUUAAAAACAAGCAAAAAUUCCCCCAAAUGUUUUGCUUUGGACCCUCAGAAAAUGCUGAACACGAAGACUUAGCCACAGGAUAUAUUUCUGAGUUCUUAAGAGAAUCAGAAAAGAACAGCAUAUUGUUUAUGUAAAGCACGGGAGAAAAAACAUGCAGCUAUUAAUACCACUCUUCUCUUUUUCAAAAAGUUUUCAUUCUACCGAAAGAAAUCUCACAGGGACUCCCCUGUGAGAUGAAUAAAUAGCUACUGUCAUCAAGGUAUUGUUCUUUGAAAAAAAAAACUGGUUACAAAAGAGUUAAUAAAAGCGACUUUUAAAACUAGUUAAUAAUAAAACUAGUGUAGAGAAGCAUACCACACACUC